GACGAACGCUGGCGGCGUGCCUAAUGCAUGCAAGUCGAACGAACUCUGGUAUUGAUUGGUGCUUGCAUCAUGAUUUACAUUUGAGUGAGUGGCGAACUGGUGAGUAACACGUGGGAAACCUGCCCAGAAGCGGGGGAUAACACCUGGAAACAGAUGCUAAUACCGCAUAACAACUUGGACCGCAUGGUCCGAGCUUGAAAGAUGGCUUCGGCUAUCACUUUUGGAUGGUCCCGCGGCGUAUUAGCUAGAUGGUGGGGUAAUGGCUCACCAUGGCAAUGAUACGUAGCCGACCUGAGAGGGUAAUCGGCCACAUUGGGACUGAGACACGGCCCAAACUCCUACGGGAGGCAGCAGUAGGGAAUCUUCCACAAUGGACGAAAGUCUGAUGGAGCAACGCCGCGUGAGUGAAGAAGGGUUUCGGCUCGUAAAACUCUGUUGUUAAAGAAGAACAUAUCUGAGAGUAACUGUUCAGGUAUUGACGGUAUUUAACCAGAAAGCCACGGCUAACUACGUGCCAGCAACCGCGGUAAUACGUAGGUGGCAAGCGUUGUCCGGAUUUAUUGGGCGUAAAGCGAGCGCAGGCGGUUUUUAAGUCUGAUGUGAAAGCCUUCGGCUCAACCGAAGAAGUGCAUCGGAAACUGGGAAACUUGAGUGCAGAAGAGGACAGUGGAACUCCAUGUGUAGCGGUGAAAUGCGUAGAUAUAUGGAAGAACACCAGUGGCGAAGGCGGCUGUCUGGUCUGUAACUGACGCUGAGGCUCGAAAGUAUGGGUAGCAAACAGGAUUAGAUACCCUGGUAGUCCAUACCGUAAACGAUGAAUGCUAAGUGUUGGAGGGUUUCCGCCCUUCAGUGCUGCAGCUAACGCAUUAAGCAUUCCGCCUGGGGAGUACGGCCGCAAGGCUGAAACUCAAAGGAAUUGACGGGGGCCCGCACAAGCGGUGGAGCAUGUGGUUUAAUUCGAAGCUACGCGAAGAACCUUACCAGGUCUUGACAUACUAUGCAAAUCUAAGAGAUUAGACGUUCCCUUCGGGGACAUGGAUACAGGUGGUGCAUGGUUGUCGUCAGCUCGUGUCGUGAGAUGUUGGGUUAAGUCCCGCAACGAGCGCAACCCUUAUUAUCAGUUGCCAGCAUUAAGUUGGGCACUCUGGUGAGACUGCCGGUGACAAACCGGAGGAAGGUGGGGAUGACGUCAAAUCAUCAUGCCCCUUAUGACCUGGGCUACACACGUGCUACAAUGGAUGGUACAACGAGUUGCGAACUCGCGAGAGUAAGCUAAUCUCUUAAAGCCAUUCUCAGUUCGGAUUGUAGGCUGCAACUCGCCUACAUGAAGUCGGAAUCGCUAGUAAUCGCGGAUCAGCAUGCCGCGGUGAAUACGUUCCCGGGCCUUGUACACACCGCCCGUCACACCAUGAGAGUUUGUAACACCCAAAGUCGGUGGGGUAACCUUUUAGGAACCAGCCGCCUAAGGUGGGACAGAUGAUUAGGGUG
rnacentral:rRNA from 1 species